GGAAUUGUAGUUCAAUUGGUCAGAGCACCGCCCUGUCAUGGCGGAAGCUACGUGUUCGAGCCCCGUCAGUGCCG
rfam:Nicotiana sylvestris Nsyl_contig140158, whole genome shotgun sequence.